CCAGUCUGCUCUGUAUAUACAGUGUAUGAGGCCCUGUAUAGGGGAUACAGCCAGUCUGCUCUGUAUAUACAGUGUAUGAGGCCCUGUAUAGGGGAUACGGCCAGUCUGCUCUGUAUAUACAGUGUAUGAGGCCCUGUAUAGGGGAUGUGACCAGUCUGCUCUGUAUAUACAGUGUAUGAGGCCCUGUAUAGGGGAUGUGACCAGUCUGCUCUGUAUAUACAGUGUAUGAGGCCCUGUAUAGGGGAUAUGACCAGUCUGCUCUGUAUAUACAGUGUAUGAGGCCCUGUAUCGGAGAUAUG